rnacentral:rRNA from 1 species
UACGGAGGGGGCGAGCGUUGUUCGGAAUUACUGGGCGUAAAGCGUGCGCAGGCGGCCCGUUAAGACAGGUGUGAAAUCCCUGGGCUCAACCUAGGAAUUGCGCUUGUGACUGGCGGGCUCGAGUACGGUAGAGGGGGGUGGAAUUCCUGGUGUAGCAGUGAAAUGCGUAGAGAUCAGGAGGAACACCGAUGGCGAAGGCAGCCCCCUGGGCCUGUACUGACGCUCAUGCGCGAAAGCUGGGGGAGCGAACCGG